rnacentral:rRNA from 1 species
GGGUUGUGAGGUUAAGCGACUAAGCGUACACGGUGGAUGCCCUGGCAGUCAGAGGCGAUGAAGGGCGUACUAAUCUGCGAUAAGCGCCGGUAAGGUGAUAUGAACCGUUAUAACCGGCGAUACCCGAAUGGGGAAACCCAGUGUGAUUCGUCACACUAUCAUUAACUGAAUCCAUAGGUUAAUGAGGCGAACCGGGGGAACUGAAACAUCUAAGUACCCCGAGGAAAAGAAAUCAACCGAGAUUCCCCCAGUAGCGGCGAGCGAACGGGGAGGAGCCCAGAGCCUGAAUCAGCAUGUGUGUUAGUGGAAGCGUCUGGAAAGGCGCGCGAUACAGGGUGACAGCCCCGUACACAAAAGCGCAUGUGCUGUGAGCUCGAUGAGUAGGGCGGGACACGUGGUAUCCUGUCUGAAUAUGGGGGGACCAUCCUCCAAGGCUAAAUACUCCUGACUGACCGAUAGUGAACCAGUACCGUGAGGGAAAGGCGAAAAGAACCCCGGCGAGGGGAGUGAAAAAGAACCUGAAACCGUGUACGUACAAGCAGUGGGAGNNNNNNNNNNNNNNNNNNACUGCGUACCUUUUGUAUAAUGGGUCAGCGACUUAUAUUCUGUAGCAAGGUUAACCGAAUAGGGGAGCCGGAGGGAAACCGAGUCUUAAUUGGGCGUUAAGUUGCAGGGUAUAGACCCGAAACCCGGUGAUCUAGCCAUGGGCAGGUUGAAGGUUGGGUAACACUAACUGGAGGACCGAACCGACUAAUGUUGAAAAAUUAGCGGAUGACCUGUGGCUGGGGGUGAAAGGCCAAUCAAACCGGGAGAUAGCUGGUUCUCCCCGAAAGCUAUUUAGGUAGCGCCUCGUGAAUUCAUCUCCGGGGGUAGAGCACUGUUUCGGCUAGGGGGCCAUCCCGGCUUACCAACCCGAUGCAAACUGCGAAUACCGGAGAAUGUUAUCACGGGAGACACACGGCGGGUGCUAACGUCCGUCGUGAAGAGGGAAACAACCCAGACCGCCAGCUAAGGUCCCAAAGUCAUGGUUAAGUGGGAAACGAUGUGGGAAGGCCCAGACAGCCAGGAUGUUGGCUUAGAAGCAGCCAUCAUUUAAAGAAAGCGUAAUAGCUCACUGGUCGAGUCGGCCUGCGCGGAAGAUGUAACGGGGCUAAACCAUGCACCGAAGCUGCGGCAGCGACGCUUAUGCGUUGUUGGGUAGGGGAGCGUUCUGUAAGCCUGCGAAGGUGGCCUGUGAGGGUUGCUGGAGGUAUCAGAAGUGCGAAUGCUGACAUAAGUAACGAUAAAGCGGGUGAAAAGCCCGCUCGCCGGAAGACCAAGGGUUCCUGUCCAACGUUAAUCGGGGCAGGGUGAGUCGACCCCUAAGGCGAGGCCGAAAGGCGUAGUCGAUGGGAAACGGGUUAAUAUUCCCGUACUUGGUGUUACUGCGAAGGGGGGACGGAGAAGGCUAUGUUGGCCGGGCGACGGUUGUCCCGGUUUAAGCGUGUAGGUGUGUGUUCCAGGUAAAUCCGGUUCACUUUAACACUGAGGCGUGACGACGAGGCACUACGGUGCUGAAGCAACAAAUGCCCUGCUUCCAGGAAAAGCCUCUAAGCAUCAGGUAACAUCAAAUCGUACCCCAAACCGACACAGGUGGUCAGGUAGAGAAUACCAAGGCGCUUGAGAGAACUCGGGUGAAGGAACUAGGCAAAAUGGUGCCGUAACUUCGGGAGAAGGCACGCUGACACGUAGGUGAAGUGAUUUACUCAUGGAGCUGAAGUCAGUCGAAGAUACCAGCUGGCUGCAACUGUUUAUUAAAAACACAGCACUGUGCAAACACGAAAGUGGACGUAUACGGUGUGACGCCUGCCCGGUGCCGGAAGGUUAAUUGAUGGGGUCAGCGCAAGCGAAGCUCCUGAUCGAAGCCCCGGUAAACGGCGGCCGUAACUAUAACGGUCCUAAGGUAGCGAAAUUCCUUGUCGGGUAAGUUCCGACCUGCACGAAUGGCGUAAUGAUGGCCAGGCUGUCUCCACCCGAGACUCAGUGAAAUUGAACUCGCUGUGAAGAUGCAGUGUACCCGCGGCAAGACGGAAAGACCCCGUGAACCUUUACUAUAGCUUGACACUGAACAUUGAGCCUUGAUGUGUAGGAUAGGUGGGAGGCUUUGAAGUGUGGACGCCAGUCUGCAUGGAGCCGACCUUGAAAUACCACCCUUUAAUGUUUGAUGUUCUAACGUGGACCCGUUACCCGGGUUGCGGACAGUGUCUGGUGGGUAGUUUGACUGGGGCGGUCUCCUCCUAAAGAGUAACGGAGGAGCACGAAGGUUGGCUAAUCCUGGUCGGACAUCAGGAGGUUAGUGCAAUGGCAUAAGCCAGCUUGACUGCGAGCGUGACGGCGCGAGCAGGUGCGAAAGCAGGUCAUAGUGAUCCGGUGGUUCUGAAUGGAAGGGCCAUCGCUCAACGGAUAAAAGGUACUCCGGGGAUAACAGGCUGAUACCGCCCAAGAGUUCAUAUCGACGGCGGUGUUUGGCACCUCGAUGUCGGCUCAUCACAUCUGGGGCUGAAGUAGGUCCCAAGGGUAUGGCUGUUCGCCAUUUAAAGUGGUACGCGAGCUGGGUUUAGAACGUCGUGAGACAGUUCGGUCCCUAUCUGCCGUGGGCGCUGGAGAACUGAGGGGGGCUGCUCCUAGUACGAGAGGACCGGAGUGGACGCAUCACUGGUGUUCGGGUUGUCAUGCCAAUGGCACUGCCCGGUAGCUAAAUGCGGAAGAGAUAAGUGCUGAAAGCAUCUAAGCACGAAACUUGCCCCGAGAUGAGUUCUCCCUGAGACUUAAAGUCUCCUGAAGGAACGUUGAAGACGACGACGUUGAUAGGCCGGGUGUGUAAGCGCAGCGAUGCGUUGAGCUAACCGGUACUAAUGAACCGUGAGGCUUAACCUUACAACGCCGAAG